rnacentral:tRNA from 1 species
GGCGCCCAACGGCGAGGCGGCUGCCUGCAAAGCAGCUUGGAGCGGGUUCGACUCCCGCCGGCGUCU